rnacentral:rRNA from 1 species
AUUCAAUCUAAACCUAAAUCGCCGCCGCCGCCCCCGACCUACCCAUAGAUUUGCUCGCAUCGCCGUCUCUCCCAACACGGCAUCCCACCCAUGGCCGUCCUCUAGUCCUGCGUGUUGCCCUGUCAUCCACGGCCGAGGAGUUGCUGCCCCAUCUGCAGCCAAGGCGCCGCCGCCUAGUCCACUGCAUAGGAGCUGGCGAGGAGGCAACUGCAGUUCUGGAGUCGCCCCGCCGUUCUUCUUCCUCCACCAGCGACCCCUGUCCAGAUCGACACCCUUGUCCUGCCCCGACUCCAGGCCACUGCAGGAGAAAAGAUGGAAGGAACAAGAGGUGGAAGUGAGCUCCCUGCAUACGAACAAUCAAGAGUUAGGCUCGUAGCAGACAUGAAUUGUACAGCCAUGCACGUGACUGCAUAUCAAUUGAUGAGAAAACAACCUGAAGAAGCAGCUGAACCGCCAACAACACUUGCAAUGGAAAUUCAAUUUUGUCGACAAGAUGAACAUGUUUCUACUCUACUAGAGCUCACGGAACAAAUGCAACGAAAAAUUGGAGAGAUGCAUCAAGUUCUCUUUUCUCAAGGAAUCAGAAAUGUCGAAAUACCAGUGCAACCCCCAUUAUCAUGCAAACAGUAUCAAAUUCAUGAAUACAUUCCUGACCUCGCACAUCAAAUCACCGGUCUGAUCUUGUUGUCCAACGACCGAGAGUUCCGAGACGAAUGCGUGGCACUCCUCAGGAAACAUAGGGACAUAUGGCAGAAAGUAGGAAGUCCACAAGUUGAUCUAAGAUGUUCCAGUGAUCGCUUUUGUUCAUUACAUAUGGAAGUUGAUGUCGGCUUGUGA